GUCUGACUCUAUUAUCACAUCCGGCGCGGAGCCGAAGAUCGCCCGGCCGUUCCAGGCCUCCAUGUGGUCCAGCCACCACCUUAGUUCGUCUCUGGAGUCCCUGUCCAGGGUCAACACGCUCUCGUACGAGCCCCCUGAGCGAAGAUGGGACCCUUUCAAACGUUGGAGUGCUUGAUAAUGCAGUGGGCCCGGAAAAAUUGCCUGAAUCGAUGAGGCCAACAGGCCGAUCACCCUCGCCAAUUGCCGGACGGAGAGAGAGGUGGCUCGCAGCGCCCGUCGUAUCUCCUUUUUCAUCGAUCGGAGUUUUGCCUCCGGGAGGAACAGACACUGGGUGACUG